AUUGAACGCUGGCGGCAGGCCUAACACAUGCAAGUCGAACGAGUGGCGGACGGGUGAGUAAUGUCUGGGAAACUGCCUGAUGGAGGGGGAUAACUACUGGAAACGGUAGCUAAUACCGCUUACCACACGAUGUGCCCAGGUGGGAUUAGCUAGUUGGUGGGGUAACGCCUCACCAAGGCGACGAUCCCUAGCUGGGCUGAGAGGAUGAACCGCCACACUGGACCUGAGACACGGUCCAGACUCCUACGGGAGGCAGCAGUGGGGAAUAUUGCACAAUGGGCGCAAGCCUGAUGCAGCCAUGCCGCGUGUAUGAAGAAGGCCUUCGGGUUGUAAAGUACUUUCAGCGGGGAGGCGUUACCCGCAGAAGAAGCAACGGCUAACUCCGUGCCAGCAGCCGCGGUAAUUC
rnacentral:rRNA from 1 species